rnacentral:rRNA from 1 species
GGCCUCAUUUGGUUGUAAGGGAUCCCGGGGGAUCCCUGCGUUUUCCCCGGGUGGGUACACCACGGGCUGAGUUCGCCCCGGGGAAGCGGGCGGCCCCAUUUGGUAGCACGUGAGGCGGGGAGAUCCCUGGCCUUUCCACGGCCCAUCCCCGGGAUAGAUCUCCCGAUGUCGAUAGGUCUGGGAGUAAACCCUCGACUGGCUCGCUCUCCCUGCGACCGGUGGCGACGGCCUCCGCCUCCAGCCUCCACCUCCGUUCGGUGCAUCUCCGUCCGACGACCGGAUAGCGCCGCCCCCCGCGCCCUCCCUCAAGAGAACCGCCUCCACAGUCCGUCCCUCCGGCAGCAGCGACGGCGACGGACCGGGCGUCAUCCAUCUCCCCUCUGCCUCAAAGCUUCUAUCACCUCCGGCGACGACGAUGGCCAAGAGGUCACCCUCCUUUCACCAAGGUUAUUACCUCCUCCUCCUCUUCUAUCCAGUGUUUUUCUUCUCCAUGGUGAUGUCUUCCCUGCUACACGCACUGACGAGCACCUGUACAGAUCCAAGAAACUCCUCUUGCGUCUGAGAUUUGUAUCACAAGUGAGCAAGUGUACACCUUACAUCCACGUUUGCAGCACCUCUAACCAUCCUGAUCUCACAACUAAGCACAAUCACCUUUGUUUCCUUGUGAUGUUGUAUACACGAUGCUAAUCUAUGCACAGUGUUCUUUGUGAUUAAUUAACUCUUGUAAUGCUAUUUUUUGAGUCAGGCAUAGCUAACAAGCUGUAUAUUUGAACAAUGGCUUUAUGGAGGUGUAUAGUAUUAGCUUUCCUUUAUAAAUGGUUAACACAACAUUUAAUUUCACCUGAAAUCAACAUUAUGACAUGCUGACUAUAACCAAACAAAGACAACUUUUAUCAUGCAGCCCAACAUCUUAGGGUUGAGAAUUUUGUCAUAGGAUCUGCACCAUGGGCUGCAUUUACUUAUUAAAUCCUUGCACUUUUUCUAGAUGCUUCCUAUGAUCUUACUUGUUGUGAAUUAUCUUGCAAUACCAUUUUAUUUAACUCACCAUGCCAAGAGGACAUGCCUUGUUUUACAAUCGCUAGUUGGUCCAUGUUUUGCUUGGUUCUCUGAAAACAUGUGUGGCAUGAACCUGAACUGCACUAAUUCUUGAUGUGAUGUAUAACUCGAAGAUGGUUACUUCAGUGCACAGUGAGCUGAUGCAUCACAUGACAUCCCUUGAAAUUCUUUUACUGCUCCCCUUCAAACUUGGCACUGUUCUUGAUUACAGUCUUGUUCCCACCAGAUGCAUGAACAUGAGCUCAAUACUUAAUACGACAGGCGCUGUAUCAUGAGCUAGCAGAGUAUGUGCAUCUGUGCUCCUGCCGCUCCACUUCCAGGUGAUGGCGUCGGGUUGGUCAGAGAGGGUGAAGCUCUCAAGUUCCCGCCAAAGUAUCAGGUUUCCUAAAGAUAGCAAAUAAAAAUGUUCAAAGAAGUUGAUGCUGGAAGUUUCAGUAAAGUGUCUAUUUCAACAGCAAAACUUUUUGCUAUGGACGUGUCACAUAUGGGCAUUUUUUUAAUGGAGCUAAAUGCUUAUUCUUGCUGGAUUUUUAACCGUAGUUAGUAUUUAAAAAAACAUGAUUAGCACAAUAAAUUUUAUCCUCAGUAGUGUUGUGUAAUUUGUGCGACUCGACCGCAUAACUUAUUGUUAGCAUGUAAUUGGGUUGAAGUGUUAAUUUGCUGAUUAUGUGUGUGUUAUUAUUUUCUCCAAAAAAAUCCUGAAUUAUUCUCUAUCUUCCUGAGAACUUGUGUCAUUUCUGGACUUAUCAAGGAAAU